GAUGAAGAACGCGGCGAAACGCGAUAUGUAAUGUGAAUUGCAGAAUUCAGUGAAUCAUCGAGUCUUUGAACGCACAUUGCGCCCCCUGGUAUUCCGGGGGGCAUGCCUGUCCGAGCGUCAUUGCUGCCCUCAAGCACGGCUUGUGUGUUGGGCCCCGUCCUCCGAUCCCGGGGGACGGGCCCGAAAGGCAGCGGCGGCACCGCGUCCGGUCCUCGAGCGUAUGGGGCUUUGUCACCCGCUCUGUAGGCCCGGCCGGCGCUUGCCGAUCAACCCAAAUUUUUUAUCCAGGUUGACCUCGGAUCAGGUAGGGAUACCCGCUGAACUUAAGCAUAUCAAUAAGCGGAGGA
rnacentral:misc_RNA from 1 species